ACACAUGCAAGUCGAACGAGAAUCUACUGAAAGAGUUUUCGGACGAUGGAAGUAGAGGAAAGUGGCGGACGGGUGAGUAACGCGUGAGGAACCUGCCUUGAAGAGGGGGACAACAGUUGGAAACGACUGCUAAUACCGCAUGAAGCAUAGGGGUCGCAUGAUUCUUAUGCUAAAGAUUUAUCGCUUCAAGAUGGCCUCGCGUCUGAUUAGCUAGUUGGCGGGGUAACGGCCCACCAAGGCGACGAUCAGUAGCCGGACUGAGAGGUUGAACGGCCACAUUGGGACUGAGAUACGGCCCAGACUCCUACGGGAGGCAGCAGUGGGGAAUAUUGGGCAAUGGGCGCAAGCCUGACCCAGCAACGCCGCGUGAAGGAAGAAGGCUUUCGGGUUGUAAACUUCUUUUAAGAGGGAAGAGCAGAAGACGGUACCUCUAGAAUAAGCCACGGCUAACUACGUGCCAGCAGCCGCGGUAAUACGUAGGUGGCGAGCGUUGUCCGGAUUUACUGGGUGUAAAGGGCGUGCAGCCGGGUCUGCAAGUCAGAUGUGAAAUCCAUGGGCUCAACCCAUGAACUGCAUUUGAAACUGUAGAUCUUGAGUGUCGGAGGGGCAAUCGGAAUUCCUAGUGUAGCGGUGAAAUGCGUAGAUAUUAGGAGGAACACCAGUGGCGAAGGCGGAUUGCUGGACGAUAACUGACGGUGAGGCGCGAAAGUGUGGGG
rnacentral:rRNA from 1 species